rnacentral:rRNA from 1 species
GACGAACGCUGGCGGCGUGCUUAACACAUGCAAGUCGAACGGAAAGGCCCUGCUUUUGUGGGGUGCUCGAGUGGCGAACGGGUGAGUAACACGUGAGUAACCUGCCCUUGACUUUGGGAUAACUUCAGGAAACUGGGGCUAAUACCGGAUAGGAGCUCCUGCUGCAUGGUGGGGGUUGGAAAGUUUCGGCGGUUGGGGAUGGACUCGCGGCUUAUCAGCUUGUUGGUGGGGUAGUGGCUUACCAAGGCUUUGACGGGUAGCCGGCCUGAGAGGGUGACCGGCCACAUUGGGACUGAGAUACGGCCCAGACUCCUACGGGAGGCAGCAGUGGGGAAUAUUGCACAAUGGGCGGAAGCCGGAUGCAGCAACGCCGCGUGCGGGAUGACGGCCUUCGGGUUGUAAACCGCUUUCGCCUGUGACGAAGCGUGAGUGACGGUAAUGGGUAAAGAAGCACCGGCUAACUACGU